rnacentral:rRNA from 1 species
AACGAACGCUGGCGGCAGGCCUAACACAUGCCAGUCGAGCGGACCCUUCGGGGUUAGCGGCGGACGGGUGAGUAACGCGUGGGAAUAUGCCCUUCUCUACGGAAUAGUCCUGGGAAACUGGGGGUAAUACCGUAUACGCCCUGUGGGGGAAAGAGUUAUCGGGGAAGGAUUAGCCCGCGUUGGAUUAGGUAGUUGGUGGGGUAAUGGCCUACCAAGCCGACGAUCCAUAGCUGGUUUGAGAGGAUGAUCAGCCACACUGGGACUUAGACACGGCCCAGACUCCUACGGGAGGCAGCAGUGGGGAAUCUUAGACAAUGGGGGCAACCCUGAUCGAGCCAUGCCGCGUGAGUGAUGAAGGCCUUAGGGUUGUAAAGCUCUUUCAGCUGGGAAGAUAAUGACGGUACCAGCAGAAGAAGCCCCGGCUAACUCCGUG